rnacentral:rRNA from 1 species
GGCCCGGGAUAGCCCAGGGAAACCUGGAUUAAUACCGGAUGAGACGGGACCCGCGAAGGCGGGACCCGGGAAAGGCGCUGCGGCGCCGCCGGGGGAUGAGUCUGCGUCCCAUUAGCUAGACGGCGGGGUAACGGCCCACCGUGGCGACGAUGGGUAGCCGGCCUGAGAGGGUGGACGGCCACAUUGGAACUGAGACACGGUCCAGACUCCUACGGGAGGCAGCAGCUAAGAAUCUUCCGCAAUGGGCGAAAGCCUGACGGAGCCGACGCCGCGUGAACGAAGAAGGCCGUGAGGUUGUAAAGUUCUUUUCGGGAGGGGAACAACCGUGGCAGGGAAUGGCCGCGGGAUGACGUGAAUCCCGGAAUAAGCCCCGGCUAACUACGUGCCAGCCGCAGC